GGAGGGAUGGCCGAGCGGCCCAAGGCAGCGGAUUGCUAAUCCGUGACCGUUUCAUAGCGGUCCGUGGGUUCGAAUCCCACUCCCUCCGCCA
rnacentral:tRNA from 1 species